rnacentral:rRNA from 1 species
GUGGGGAAUUUUGGACAAUGGGGGAAACCCUGAUCCAGCCAUGCCGCGUGCGGGAAGAAGGCCUUCGGGUUGUAAACCGCUUUUGUCCGGGAAGAAAUGACCUCCCCUAAUACGGGGGGUUCCUGACGGUACCGGAAGAAUAAGCACCGGCUAACUACGUGCCAGCAGCCGCGGUAAUACGUAGGGUGCGAGCGUUAAUCGGAAUUACUGGGCGUAAAGCGUGCGCAGGCGGUUCGCUAAGUCUGAUGUGAAAGCCCCGGGCUCAACCUGGGAAUGGCAUUGGAAACUGGCGGGCUUGAGUGUGGCAGAGGGGGGUGGAAUUCCACGUGUAGCAGUGAAAUGCGUAGAGAUGUGGAGGAACACCGAUGGCGAAGGCAGCCCCCUGGGCUAACACUGACGCUCAGGCACGAAAGCGUGGGGAGCAAACAGGAUUAGAAACCCUAGUAGUCC